UUUCCGUAGGUGAACCUGCGGAAGGAUCAUUAAUGAGUUGUCAUGGGGUUCGAUGCUGGCAGCCAGUUUUUGGAUGCAUGUGCUUGCCCUAACAAUCAUCUUCUUCCAAACACCUGUGCACAUUUUUGAGGGAGUCUUGAGUUGGUUGCCGCUCUUGGGUGAUUUUCUCACAUUCCCUUAAAUCAUUAUACUCUAUUAACAAUGUUGAACGUGCUCUGUGCCGCAAGGCCAUUAAUAUAAUACAACUUUUAACAACGGAUCUCUUGGCUCUC
rnacentral:misc_RNA from 1 species